rnacentral:rRNA from 1 species
GACGAACGCUGGCGGCGUGCCUAAUACAUGCAAGUAGAACGCUGAAGGAGGAGCUUGCUUCUCUGGAUGAGUUGCGAACGGGUGAGUAACGCGUAGGUAACCUGCCUGGUAGCGGGGGAUAACUAUUGGAAACGAUAGCUAAUACCGCAUAAGAGUAGAUGUUGCAUGACAUUUGCUUAAAAGGUGCAAUUGCAUCACUACCAGAUGGACCUGCGUUGUAUUAGCUAGUUGGUGGGGUAACGGCUCACCAAGGCGACGAUACAUAGCCGACCUGAGAGGGUGAUCGGCCACACUGGGACUGAGACACGGCCCAGACUCCUACGGGAGGCAGCAGUAGGGAAUCUUCGGCAAUGGACGGAAGUCUGACCGAGCAACGCCGCGCGAGUGAAGAAGGUUUUCGGAUCGUAAAGCUCUGUUGUAAGAGAAGAACGAGUGUGAGAGUGGAAAGUUCACACUGUGACGGUAUCUUACCAGAAAGGGACGGCUAACUACGUG